UACAGAGGUGGCAAGCGUUGUUCGGAAUUACUGGGCGUAAAGCGCGCGUAGGCGGCCCUGUAAGUCCGUUGUGAAAGUCAAAGGCUCAACCUUUGAAAGCCGAUGGAUACUGCAGGGCUAGAGUCCGGAAGAGGCGAGUGGAAUUCCUGGUGUAGCGGUGGAAUGCGCAGAUAUCAGGAGGAACACCAAUAGCGAAGGCAGCUCGCUGGGACGGUACUGACGCUGAGGAGCGAAAGCGUGGGGAGCGAACAGG
rnacentral:rRNA from 1 species